AGUGAACGCUGGCGGUAGGCCUAACACAAGCAAGUCGAACGGCAGCACAGUAAGAGCUUGCUCUUACGGGUGGCGAGUGGCGGACGGGUGAGGAAUACAUCGGAAUCUACUUUUUCGUGGGGGGUAACGUAGGGAAACUUACGCUAAUACCGCAUACGACCUACGGGUGAAAGCAGGGGAUCUUCGGACCUUGCGCGAUUGAAUGAGCCGAUGUCGGAUUAGCUAGUUGGCGGGGUAAAGGCCCACCAAGGCGACGAUCCGUAGCUGGUCUGAGAGGAUGAUCAGCCACACUGGAACUGAGACACGGUCCAGACUCCUACGGGAGGCAGCAGUGGGGAAUAUUGGACAAUGGGCGCAAGCCUGAUCCAGCCAUACCGCGUGGGUGAAGAAGGCCUUCGGGUUGUAAAGCCCUUUUGUUGGGAAAGAAAAGCAGCAGGUUAAUACCCCGCUGUUCUGACGGUACCCAAAGAAUAAGCACCGGCUAACUUCGUG
rnacentral:rRNA from 1 species